AAAACAGAAGUAAAUUUUACAACCAACUUCGACCUGGUUAAUGGCUCUGCCCUGUUUUA
rnacentral:tRNA from 1 species